UUUCAUAAUAGCAUAGAGAUAUGUGUAAUCAGUCUCACACAGGACAUAAAAGAUUUAUACAGUAAAAAUUAUGGUACUCUGAGGAAAGAGAUUGAACAGGAU